GGUGUCUGUGAGAAAUGCCGUCAGUACUGAGCCCAGAUGGGCUGCGUUGCUGCAUCCGUCCCUGCCACCACCUCGGUUUUGCCGUGAUGGAAAUUUGGGUUUAGAAUUAUUUGUGUGCGAGGUGGGCUGCGUUUAUUAAAAGCAGUAAGCAGCAUGGCACACCGAUAGCUUUGGGUGUGUUCCGUAGUGCAGUGUGCAUGCUUUGACAUUGAGCUUUGCAUCUGGCGUUCCGGCUCUGCACACAGCUGUGUCUCUUCUUGAAGCAUUAGAAUGUCUCUCCUUGUUUUCUUCUUUGCUAGGAGGAAUGGUUUUAAACUGAGAUGGGGGAGGUUUAGGAUAGAGAUAGGAGGAAAUUUUUCCCCCAGAGGGUAGUGAGGCACUGAACAGGCUGCCCAAGGAGGUUGUGGAUGCCCCAUCCCUGCAGGCAUUCAAGGCCAGGCUGGAUGUGGCUCUGGGCAGCCUGGGCUGCUGGUUGGCGACCUGCACACAGCAGGGGGUUGGAACUGGAUGAGCAUUGUGGUCCUUUUCAACCCAGCCCAUUCUGUGCUUCUAUGACUGUAUGUGUGUUUGAAGCGAUUCACGUGCAGCAAACCACUGAUAAGUUUUCACAUUUACCUGGGAGUUCUGUGAGUGAGCAGAGCUCAUUUGUGUGGUUUGGUGAUGUCCACGUCGCUGUCUGAAUGAGAGAGUGGUUGUGGCUUUGUGGAGAAGAAACAUGGUGAUGUAGCACUUAAGGACGGGGUUUAGUGGGCAGUAUUGAUGGUAGGCAGACAGUUGGACUGGGUGAUCAUGGAGGUCUUUUCCAACCUGAAUGAUUCUGCAGAAAGAGUGCAUCAAAGCAAGUCUUUAAAUGCUCUGUACAGAGUGACUUGUGUCUGAUAUGGGAGGAGUGGCUGUCCUGUUGGUGCAAAAGUCUUUUUUUAGAGACAUAAAUAAUAUCUGAGAAAUGUGAGUGUUUAUCUCUUGUUGCUCUAGUGGCCUUAAGCUUGAAAGCUGAUGAGGAACUCGGGGCUUUAGUUACCUAAUACUUUUCCAUUAGAAAAGAUGUUUAAUAAUUUUGAGUAAACUGAAACUUCCAUUGUUUAUAACAGGCCUUUGAAAAGUGUCAAGUACUGUGGAGCAAUGUUUUGUCUUCUGAAAUUCUAUUCAGGUUUGCCUGACAAACAUAUCCAGAUAUGUUUAUGUUUCCAUACCAUUGGUUGCUUUAUCAUAAAAUAUUAAGUAUGCCAAAUUAUAAACAAGAGCUUGUUCCAUGCUGCAGCUGUACAUGCAGGGGUCCUUUAUGCGCAAAGCCUCCUUGGGAGGCUGAAAGAAGCAGAUUCAGCUUAGGUUAUGAUGCAGCAUGCCUCUUUAUCAGGCCUUUUGUUUUCAGUUGGUGUUUUCUUCUAUCCAAAAGUGGUGUUGGGGGAAAUAAGAUGUACUUAGAAUUUCUGCAUUAGAGCUCAAGAGUUCCUGCUUGUUAUCUUCACAGUGGCAUUGAGGAGAGGUUUAAGUAAAAUUCAGGUUUGUCAGUGGGGUUUGUCAGUGCAUUGCCUUGGGAUGGUAGAUGAGCUGCCCUCUUUGAUUUUUAUCCUUGGCUCUCCUUCUCCUCGUGUGCAAUAGAUUUUGUUGUUGUAGAUACUGGAUUAAAAGAAUAGCAACCUCUUCUAUGGCAUUAACAGCAGACUGAUUCACUGUGAGCUUUGAAAACUGUAACACUCCAGAAAGUGCUUCCUAUUGCAGUUGUUAGUGACAGAAGAUGAUGCUGGCCUUGGAAAUGGACGUGGCUUGGGCAAACUGUUACCAGAUGAAUGUUUUGAAGUCUGUCUGUGCUUGACCAAGAUUCAGCCUGGAAGCUUGUGAAGAACUCAGCAUCAUAAUGUCCAUUUUCCUCUAAUCCUCUGUUUUGACAUCUGAAAAUAAAAUGCUUCUAAUUCCCAUUUAAUGGGGAUUUUUGAAGGGAAGAAGGCGCUUUCAAUUGUCCUGCAACUGUUACAGGAUUUCUUCUGGCUUGCAUCAUCUUGCCUGCUUGAAUAGCUGUCUCUGUUAAUGGCAAGGGUAAAAUGGUAUUGUUUGUGUCAUUCCCCAGAUUGAAUUUGUCAGAGAGAGUCAUUGUGUGGAUUGUGGUGUCAGUAUUUUUAAAUAAUCCUUCACAUGGUUAUGAACAGGACAGAGUCAGUCUAUAUAGUGAUAAAACUUGAUUACACUUUCUGAAAACUGGAUUAAACUUUGUCUAAAUAUACAGAAAUCCUGAAAUUCCUAUUUUGAAGCUUUUGUCAGGUUUGUUUUUUUUUUUUUGCUUGGCCAUUGCAACGUGCCAUUUAGUCUUAGCUACCAGGACAGAAGACUUGUUUUUCAAUUGGGAAUUUGGUUUUAGUGCUGGAGGACACAAACGUUAUGGGUGCACUGCAUUACGAUGGGCACUGUGAUUUCUUUGUAACCCCAGCUGCUUUUCCUUUGUCUGUAAGGUGGCAGCUGGUGCUGUUUGGCUCGUGCCACCAUGGCAGGGAGCUGCAAGCUGUGCUGUGGGGAGCCCUGCUGGUUCCUUCCUCCAGCAGCUCCUGGCCAUGCUUCUGGUGUGCCAGGAAGCCCUCAGGAAGAGCUGCGAUGCCCACGUGAUACUGCAGCCAUUUGAAACCCCUUGACUUCAUAAGAUCUCCUCUGCUGGAAGUGAAUUCAAAGCACACCGACUUCCUCAUCCUCUGCGUCAGUGCAUUGUUCAGGUGCCAGCUGUGCCUUUUUGGGAGUUGGCACAGGGGGACGCUGCCCAGCAGAAGGGGCUUCCUGCCAAGCGGUGUCCUUGUCAGGUCCGUGGGAUGUGACAGCAUUUUGUGGGAACAACUCCUUUGAGCUCUUUGAGACUCAUAUUUAAUUCUGUCUAAAUCAGGGCUGCUUGUACACAUUUGAUAAGAAUAAACUGUUAGCAAGAGA